AAAAGGAGCCCCAGUUGCUCUCCUUCUUGAAUGACAUGAUCCUUGUGCAGGAUAGGAGUGUCUCAAUUCCUUCAGGCCAACAGAUACCUAGCAGUAUCUGCUUCAGCUUCACCAACCACUGGGCUGCUCUGGGUAGCCCAGAAUUGAGGAGCUGUUUAAUAGAAGGAGAAAUAGCUGAGGACAUUGGAGGCCAUCAUUUUGCUUUUCAGUUUUGUUAUUUUUAGGCCAGGAAACAAGAACUUGUCUUUGCUGUCACAACUUACCCUUUGGCUCUGUAGCCAGGGUAAAGUCCCACCACUGAUGGAUCUUUAUGCUCAGGAUUAUUACCAUCAGCCCGCGGAUUUUUAUCACUUCCUGAAGCUGGUGCAACAUAAAUUCAGAGUUUGAGAAUGAGUUAAAAAGAACUUAGAUGCUGUCCAGUGUGCCCAUCUCUGUUGCUGCUGCUGCUGCUGUUGUUAUUUAUUUCCCUGUCUCCUAGGUUAUCAUUGAGCACUGAUCAGAGGGAGCUGGCAUGCUCACAUCUAUGUCUACAAUGGUGAUGGUGCUAGCUGCAAAGGAACCCUGUAUUUUCUGUCUUCCUUCAAUUCCCAUUGCACUUUCUGAAUUUCACUUAAACCAUUGGUCUAGUCAGGUAGUUAAUUUUGAUUGGGACAUUUUUUAAUUGUUUUUCCAUUUGAAUUGUGGGUAUUCCACCCAAAGCUUCACAUUGUUUCAGUUUGUUUCACAUCCAAGAUGACAGAAUUUAGGGUUUAGUCAUGCUGAAUAUGUGUUGGAUGAAGGGUUGAAAAAUUAAAGAAAAAAUUUCAACUUCUGAUUUCAAUCUGCAACUUGUGAUGAGUAUAUUCGUUCUGCCUUAGGCUCUGUCGUUUUAUGUAGAAAUGUUCUCAAACAAGAACAAGUCCUUUAAAAAGUAUUUUUUUGUGUAUUAAUCAGGGUUCUGUAGAGUAACAGAACUUAUAGAAUAAAUCUUUCAAUGCAUACAGAAAAGGGAUUUAUUAAAAUUACUUACUUGCUGUGGUCCAGCUAAUCCAACAAUGGCUGCCUAUAUACAGAAGAUCCAAGAAUCCAGUAGUUGUUCAGUCCACAAAGCUAAAUGUCUCAGCUGGUUUACAGUAUACACUGGAAUCCUGAAGAAGUGGACUCGAAUGCCAGUUAAGGAAUGGACUUUCUAGUGAGUUGAGAUCAAUCAGGCGAAGAGGAAAUGUUUCCUUUCUUUUAUGCCAUUAUAUAGGCUUCCAGUAAAAUACAUGGCCCAGAUUAGAGAUAUGUAUACUUUUUUUUUGAUGGUUUAGAACUUUAUUUCAAUGUAUGCAUAGGAAACACACUCAUAUCAGCUAAUAGGAUGCAAUCACGUUCAACCUAUCCUAUACAGUCUUGACCAGAAACUUGGUACAUGAUUUACAAUUAAAAAAAAAUAACAAAAAACAAACUGCAAUCUGCUUCAUCUCUAUCUGUUGCAAAUGUAUAAAAAAAUCCUCCAUCAAAUGCUGCUGAAGGCAGCAGACCCUUGAGAAAUAUACCUUUGGUUUGCCUCAGGAAAAUAACACAUAUUGCACUGUAAAGGUUUAUAAAAUUGAAGCAAAGCAUUGUUGUGAUGUCACAAUACCAGUUCUGAGAGUCCAGUAACUGACGGGAGCCUGCAGGACAUACACACAACUGUAGAAGCCCUCGCUCGCCCUCAGCCAGCAGUACACACACUGAAUCUACAGUCGGAUCAUUCUGAACUAAGACAUCAGCUCACCUCAUGUGCUCAGGCAGCCAGAAAACCUUAGAUAGAUCUUGAUUUUUGCAAAGAAAACGGAGUUUCUUCAGUGUUUCAGUUUACGAGUAACAGGAUGCUAACAGACGAGAACAUCAGAUCCCAUUACAGAUGGUUGUGAGCCACCAUGUGGUUGGAGAGAAUUGACACAAGACCUCUGGAAGAGCAGUCAGUGCUUUUAACUGCUGAGCCAUCUCUCCAGCCCUGUCUUUGGUCAGCAUGCAAAAGCUGUGAGCAGAGAGACUAAUGCUUCAUCUAUUCGUUCAAUCUAUUAGCAAGAACUUGGCAGUGCAUAAGAGCUUCCCACCUGGCAGUAGUCUCGAAGACACGAGAAAUGCAAGUUUGAUGGGGUUACAGAGACAGAGUGUUGUGGAGGCAUAGACCAUGUGGCAGAGUAGAAAGGCCUGAAAAGAGGCCAGGAGAUGCUAUUGGUAAAUAACAAAUGUAGAACUCUCAGCUCCACCUGCAUCAUGCCUGUCUGGGUACUGCCAUGCUCCUGCCUUGAUGAAAAUGGACUGAACCUCUAAACCUUAAUAUUUUAACCCAAGGAACCUAAUCUACCAUCAAAAGUGAAAAAGGUGGAGGUCUCCAAAUAGAACUUAAUCAAAGAGGUGUAAACUAAAAAUACUCACCUGUGGUGGGCAGGGAAGCUUAUAACUUAUCAGAUUAAUGAAGUAAUCAUCAUCAUCAUCAUCAUCACCACCACCACCACCACCACCACCACCAUCAUCAUCAUCACCAAAGAAAGACCACAAGAAUUCAUAAGGGGAAUUCAAAUAGUCAUCUACAGACUAUGAAGAAAGCUUUUAUGAGGAACAAGAUUGCUCGGUACCUGGACCAUUAAAAGUUAUUCUUCAGUA